rnacentral:rRNA from 1 species
UACGUAGGGUGCAAGCGUUAUCCGGAAUUAUUGGGCGUAAAGAGCUCGUAGGCGGUUUGUCGCGUCUGCUGUGAAAACCGGAGGCUCAACCUCCGGCCUGCAGUGGGUACGGGCAAGCUAGAGUGCGGUAGGGGAGAUUGGAAUUCCUGGUGUAGCGGUGGAAUGCGCAGAUAUCAGGAGGAACACCGAUGGCGAAGGCAGAUCUCUGGGCCGUAACUGACGCUGAGGAGCGAAAGCGUGGGGAGCGAACAGG